AACCGUGGAGGGUCAUUGGAAACUGGGGAACUUGAGUGCAGAAGAGGAAAGUGGAAUUCCACGUGUAGCGGUGAAAUGCGUAGAGAUGUGGAGGAACACCAGUGGCGAAGGCGACUUUCUGGUCUGUAACUGACACUGAGGCGCGAAAGCGUGGGGAGCGAACAGGAUUAGAUACCCUGGUAGUCCACGCCGUAAACGAUGAGUGCUAAGUGUUAGAGGGUUUCCGCCCUUUAGUGCUGCAGCUAACGCAUUAAGCACUCCGCCUGGGGAGUACGGCCGCAAGGCUGAAACUCAAAGGAAUUGACGGGGGCCCGCACAAGCUGUGGAGCAUGUGGUUUAAUUCGAAGCAACGCGAAGAACCUUACCAGGUCUUGACAUCCUCUGACAACCCUAGAGAUAGGGCCUUCCCUUUCGGGGGACAGAGUGACAGGUGGUGCAUGGUUGUCGUCAGCUCGUGUCGUGAGAUGUUGGGUUAAGUCCCGCAACGAGCGCAACCCUUGAUCUUAGUUGCCAGCAUUCAGUUGGGCACUCUAAGGUGACUGCCGGUGACAAACCGGAGGAAGGUGGGGAUGACGUCAAAUCAUCAUGCCCCUUAUGACCUGGGCUACACACGUGCUACAAUGGAUGGUACAAAGAGCCCGCAAACCCGCGAGGGCAAGCUAAUCUCAUAAAGCCAUUCUCAGUUCGGAUUGC
rnacentral:rRNA from 1 species